rnacentral:lncRNA from 1 species
CUUGAGGGUGUGGCAAUUGUUAAACUUGAGAUCUGGGUGUUGGUUGAACUUAAGUUUUUGUUGUGUUUGAACUUGAGUUUGUGGUGUUUUUUAACUUGAGUUUGUGGUGUUUUUGAACUUGAAUUUGUUGUGUUUGAACUUGAGUUUGUGGUGUUUGUUGAAUUUGAGUUUGUGUCGUAUUACAACUUGAUUUUGUGGUGUUUUUGAACUUGAGUUUGUGGUUUUUGUUUGAACUUGAUUUUGUGUGUUUGUUAAACUUGAGUUUGUGUGUUUUUUGAACUUGAGUUGGUGGUGUUUUUGAACUUGAGUUUUGUGUUUGAAACAGAGUUUGUGGUUUUUGUUAAAUUUGAGUUUGUGUCAUGUUUUAACUUGAGUUUGUGGUCUUCUUGAAAUUGAGUUUGUGUUAUUUUUGAAGUUGAAGUUGAGGAUUUGGAAUUUGUUGUACUCAAGGUUGUGGAAAUUGUUAAACUUGAGUUUGUGUGUUAUUUGAACUCUAGUGUGUGUCGUAUUUGAACUUCAGUUUGUGUGAUUGUUGAACUUGAGUUUGUGUUGUGUUUGAACUUGAGUUUGUGUUGUGUUUGCAAUUGAGUUUGUGGUGUUUUUGAACUUGAGUUUGUGGUGUUUUUAAACUUGAGUUUGUGUGUUUGUCAAACUUGAAUUUGUUAUGUUUGAACUUGAGUUUGUGGUGUUUGUUGAACUUGAGUUUGUGUCGUGUUUGCACUUGAGUUUGUGGUGUUUUUGAACUUGAUUUUG